CCACAGCCCUCCUCCUCCUUCCCUUCGCCUUCGCGGGUGUGGGCGCCUCGAGGCACUGGCGAGCCUCUCCAGGACUGAUGAUGUUCAGAUGGUCAACUCUCCAUCAGCCUGAGUCCCAGAGUCAGUACCAGAUGGCGCAGAGCCCCUAAUGACCUGAGAUGGGCGUGUAACACAAGUGGGAAAUCAACCUUUACUCUUCUAAGCCACUGAGAGGAGGAAGGGCUGUCUGUGAGCUGACGCAACGACAGAGGAGCAUCAGAGUGCAGGAUCCCGAGUCACGCGUGGCACCUGGUCUACUUCUCGGGAAGGUUUCACACGCUGGAAACCAGCCAUCUCAUCUUUAACAAGUGGAACUUAUCAAAGAAGAAAGGGUGGAAGAGGAGCUCCCAGGCCUGGCUUAUGAGUGUGGCCUUGAACACGUCCACAGACGUGUUGUUGUCCUGUUGAGUCUGCAGCCAGGAAGGCGGAACUCACUGCAGAGGGCAGGUGUGAACGUGCCGCUUCAGAGCCAGUGCUCUUUGAAGACGGAAAGUCAAGGACCCCAGUCCCUUCCAGGAAACAAGGACAUAAUUAUCACAACACCCCACUGGCCAGUGACCUUCAUUCCUCAGGCCCGCCCUACUCCCUCUGCUGGCACCAGCCCAGGUCCCCACAGCCUGAGCCCUGUGUCCAGACUGCUCAGAUCCAGAAGCAGCCCCCUUGCACACCCUUUGAAAGGGUUCUUAAUCUCUUUCUACUACGCUGCUCUCGCAACAUAAAUCCGCCAGCCUAGGGGCCUCUGAACCCCCGCGAAGGGAGGCCCAUCCAGGCCAGGAGAAGUCUGAGCCGCGGAGGCGUGGAAUUUAUGCUUCCUCUCACCUGCGCGUCUGUCUGUGGCCCCGACUCCAGUCUGUCGUUGGAGGUUUGAACAUAACCUCCCAGCUCCUUGCCAAGUCUGCCAUCAUCACCUCAGCCACAGAAGCUGACUCCUCAAGGCCACUGGAAUCCAGUAACAGGGACUCUCCA